rnacentral:rRNA from 1 species
ACGAAGACUGACGCUCAGGUGCGAAAGCGUGGGGAGCAAACAGGAUUAGAUACCCUGGUAGUCCACGCCGUAAACGAUGUCGACUUGGAGGUUGUGCCCUUGAGGCGUGGCUUCCGGAGCUAACGCGUUAAGUCGACCGCCUGGGGAGUACGGCCGCAAGGUUAAAACUCAAAUGAAUUGACGGGGGCCCGCACAAGCGGUGGAGCAUGUGGUUUAAUUCGAUGCAACGCGAAGAACCUUACCUGGUCUUGACAUCCACGGAAGUUUUCAGAGAUGAGAAUGUGCCUUCGGGAACCGUGAGACAGGUGCUGCAUGGCUGUCGUCAGCUCGUGUUGUGAAAUGUUGGGUUAAGUCCCGCAACGAGCGCAAC